rnacentral:lncRNA from 1 species
AUCCUAGUGACCAUGCAGUAAGCAAAGUUAGGCAUGCUGUAUCUGUACAGUUGUCUCGUAAAUAAAGGACACAGUUUUCUUGCAGCUGUAUUCCAGUAGGCAGGUAACUGAAAAACAGACCUAAGGACAUAGCUCUCUGCUCCUAGACUUCUGCCUGGUGUGCCAAAGAGAUUAACAUCCUGCCACCAGGAGAAACCAUCCUGGCUGGGCCCAGGGCAAGAGGGCUGGUAUAGCUCAGGGUAGGGCUGGGCACUUUUUGCAGCCCGGAUGCUUGGAGAGAAGCACAGGGGUGGAACAGUGGCCAGCUGGGGGCAGUGCUGAGGAAGGGCUUGCCCAGUAGCACUGGGCUGGAUGUCAGCAGUGGGGUGGGCCCUGGCUUGACUCGGUCUCCAGUGUGGCUCUGAAUGAGUGGGGAGAGCUGGAGAGGCAGGCUUGAGUUUCCUGCU